rnacentral:rRNA from 1 species
CUUUUUGGAGUGUAAACCUCUUUUAUUAGGGAAGAAGUGAUGACGGUACCUAAUGAAUCAGCAUCGGCUAACUCCGUGCCAGCAGCCGCGGUAAUACGGAGGAUGCAAGCGUUAUCCGGAAUUAUUGGGCGUAAAGCGUCCGUAGGUGGCUUUUUAAGUCUUUUGUCAAAGCGUGCAGCUUAACUGCAUACGGGCGGAGGAAACUAAGGAGCUAGAGUGCGAUAGGGGUCACAGGAAUUCCCAGUGUAGCGGUGAAAUGCGUAGAUAUUGGGAAGAACACCAGCGGCGAAAGCGUGUGACUGGGUCUGCACUGACACUGAGGGACGAAAGCUAGGGGAGCGAAAGGGAUUAGAUACCCCUGUAGUCCUAGCCGUAAACGAUGACAACUAGGUGUGGUUCGUAUCGACCCGAGCCGUGCCGUAGCCAACGCGUUAAGUUGUCCGCCUGGGGAGUACGCACGCAAGUGUGAAACUCAAAGGAAUUGACGGGGGCCCGCACAAGCGGUGGAGUAUGUGGUUUAAUUCGAUGCAACGCGAAGAACCUUACCAAGGCUUGACAUCCUGCGAACUUUUCUGAAAGGAGAAGGUGCCUUCGGGAGCGCAGAGACAGGUGGUGCAUGGCUGUCGUCAGCUCGUGUCGUGAGAUGUUGGGUUAAGUCCCGCAACGAGCGCAACCCACGUUUUUAGUUGCCAUCAGGUAGAGCUGGGCACUCUAGAGAGACUGCCGGUGACAAACCGGAGGAAGGUGUGGAUGACGUCAAGUCAGCAUGCCCCUUACGCCUUGGGCUACACACGUACUACAAUGCUACGGACAAAGAGCAGCCAGACAGCGAUGUUGAGCCAAUCUCAUAAACCGUAGCUCAGUUCAGAUUGCAGGCUGCAACUCGCCUGCAUGAAGGCGGAAUCGCUAGUAAUCGCAGGUCAGCAUACUGCGGUGAAUACGUUCCCGGGCCUUGUACACACCGCCCGUCACACCAUGGGAGUUGGUCACGCCCGAAGCCGUUACCCUAACCGUUCGCGGAGGGGGAUGUCGAAGGUGGGGCUGAUGACUGGGGUGAAGUCGUAACAAGGUAGCCGUACCGGAAGGUGUGGCUGGAUCACCUCCUUAA